rnacentral:lncRNA from 1 species
GUGCUUCAAAAUGAGUUUCCGGGUGGGAAACAUGCUAAACUGAUAGAUGUGUAUUUAUGGAUAAUUAUAAUGAAAUGAAUGUAAAUGUAAAUGGUGAAUGUAUGUGUAUGCUCAUACUGUAACGUAUCAAAACCCGAAAACGAUAUUCGAGCUUUGACCAAAUUGGUUAAAGCGUCGAAGGAAAGCGAUGGACAAGUUCCUCUUGCUGCCCGACAAGUUUGAGAGGGCGAAAAAUAAGUUAGAGAAGUGUUAAAAUGGUUUUGGCGUCAACCGGCGCGAAGUAGAGCUGAAUCGAAGUCAAAACUGCAUUCUGGGCGUCUUGUACCGGUACAAGGGUGAUGGUUGUACCGGUACAAGCAGCGACCAGAG